UUGAACGCUGGCGGCAGGCCUAACACAUGCAAGUCGAACGGUAGCACAGAGAGCUUGCUCUCGGGUGACGAGUGGCGGACGGGUGAGUAAUGUCUGGGAAACUGCCCGAUGGAGGGGGAUAACUACUGGAAACGGUAGCUAAUACCGCAUAACGUCUUCGGACCAAAGUGGGGGACCUUCGGGCCUCACACCAUCGGAUGUGCCCAGAUGGGAUUAGCUAGUAGGUGGGGUAACGGCUCACCUAGGCGACGAUCCCUAGCUGGUCUGAGAGGAUGACCAGCCACACUGGAACUGAGACACGGUCCAGACUCCUACGGGAGGCAGCAGUGGGGAAUAUUGCACAAUGGGCGCAAGCCUGAUGCAGCCAUGCCGCGUGUAUGAAGAAGGCCUUCGGGUUGUAAAGUACUUUCAGCGGGGAGGAAGGGUCACUGGUUAAUAACCAGCGGCAUUGACGUUACCCGCAGAAGAAGCACCGGCUAACUCCGUGCCAGCCGCCGCCGUAAAC
rnacentral:rRNA from 1 species